UGCCACAAUAGCUGUUUUGAAGAAAGG
rnacentral:piRNA from 1 species